GACAACCAGCCUUGCUCACGAAGCGUCAGCCGUAUCCUUUCUGUGUGCAGUGGGGUGUGGGUUGUGUGGAGCCGCGGUGUCUGUGGAAUUCACAGGCUGGGGCCGGAAUCCAUGGCCCCCGUCGCCGCUGCCACCCCCCAGGUGCUGGGGUGACCUGAUCCAGGGUUGGGGUCUAAGCUGCUGGGGGGUUGGAGUCUUGGGCUCUGGCCCACGUCCGCCUCUGAUUGGUUCUACCACCUGAGCCGGUCACUGACCCUCCAUGGGCCUCAGCUUACCCUAUGGUAAAGUGAGAACUAGGGGGUCAGACUCCUUGAUCACCAAGAUCUCUGACCACAGCCAAGGCUAAGGGAAGCGCAGGAAAACGUGGGGCUCGUCCAAAUUCCCAGCCUCUCUCUGCCCCCUGGUGGACGCCGGCAGCCUAGCACCCGGGGGGAGAUGACCCCGACACUGUGUGACCUCUGCCAAGGCACCCAUCCCUCUGAGCCCCAGUUCCCACCGGUUACAUAGGAAUGAUUAUAAUACCCACCUCUUUGGGCAAUUGUGAGGAGGCAAGGAGAUAAUACAUGCAAAGUGCUUGGAUGGGAUGGGUACUAGCCACUCAACAGAAGGCAGAUCCUAGAAUGGGGAUGGCAAGUCCUGUCAUCAGUGAAGAAUGUAAUGACUGCAAGCUUAGAUGACAUGUCUGUUACUGGAAACCAGAGUUGUUUACUUAAGCUGUAAAUGAACUCAUAGUCCCUGGGAUAAUUAUCUCACCUCUGGAUAAAUAAACUCAACAGCCUUAUGUAUUUUAUUAAUUUUUCUUAAAAAAAAGCUUAAAAUAUUUUUCCUUUGAUUUGUUCUCUUUCUUUGGUUUCUGACUUUAUUAUGUCCUUUCUUUCUGCUUAGGCAUUUGUUUUAUUGCUCUUUUUUCACCAACUCAAACUGAAUGGUCACCUUAACAGUUUUAUUGAGGUAUAAUUUACACACCAUAAAAUUCACCUGCUUUAAGGAUACUAUUCAAUGAUUUUUAGUACAGUUACAAAGUUAUGCAACCAUCAUCAAAACCCAAUUUUAGAAUAUUUCAAUCACCCAAAAAAGAAAUAUCACACCCAUUUACAGUUUAUCCCCUUUCCUGCCCCCAGCCUUAGGCAACCACUAAUCUACUUUAUAUAUAGAUUUGCCUUUCCUGGACAUUUCACAAAAAUUGAUUUACGCAAUGAAUGAGUAAAACCGUCUUCCAAAGGAAGAGGGCCUCCCAAGGCAGGUGUGGGCAUGGGCUUGCCACAAUAUGUGGCAUUUUGUGCACUUAAUGUUAUUGAGGAUUAAUCUAUGUUGUAACAUGUGGCGGUAUUUUGCUCCUUUUCAUUGGCAUUCUCUUGGGGGCUUGUUUAUUUUUACAUGUAUUGUUUUCCACUAAAUGUACUUAAAUAUAUAAAUUUGUCUGUAAGUGCUGCUAAAACCCAGCUAAGCUGUGCCCCACCAACUUUAAUGUAGUUUUUCCACUAUUCAGAAGUAAAUAUUUCUCACAUUUCUUUAUGACGUCCUUCUCCACCGAAAGUUACCUACUGUAAACUAAAAAUAAAAUCCUAAGUCCCCCACCAACUGAAUGGAUGCCCCCCUUGGCCAAGGGGACACCAGAAAAAACUUAGGAAUGGAGUUCCAGCCAUGGCAGGACAGGAGGUCCCCUUUGUAGUUUAGACACAACAGCUGACCAGCAUUGAUGUUAAAAUAGAGAGCAUAAGACUGACAGAACAGACUUUUGUGGCAAUAAGAUACAAAAUUAUAGGCUGGGCGCGGUGGCUCACGCCUGUAAUCCCAGCACUUUGGGGAGGCUGAGGCGGGCAGAUCACUUGAGGUCAGGAGUUUGAGACCAGCCUGGCCAACAUGGCAAAACCCUGUCUCUACUAAAAAUACAAAAAUUAGCCGGGCAUGGUAGUGCACAUCUGUAAUCCCAGCUACUUGGGAGGCUGAGGCAGGAAGAUCACUUGAACCUGGGAGGCGAAGGUUGCGGUGAGCCAAGAUCACGCCAUUGCACUCCAGCCUGGGCAACAGAGUGAGAUUCCAUCUAAAAAAAAAAAAAAAAAAAGAUACAGGCCAGGCCAGGCAAGGGUUAAGUCACCCACCCCUACACUUAAAGAAUAAACUAAGUUCUAACAGCCACAAGGUUUUUCGUUUUCUCUAGCAGAACAAUAAGCACUGGCCUUGAGAUAAGCAAUAUGAAAAUAAUUGCAGCACAUCCACUAACUGACCACUGUUUCCAUAAGCCAUAACUACAGCUUGGACUGGACAAGAGACUGAUAUCAAUAAUUUUCUCCUGAUAGUAAGACCACCGACCACGGACUGGUUCUGGCCAGUUUACAGAGGCUGUGCACUUGAGCGCUUUUGUGUCCUGAAAAGACCUUUUGACAUCUAGGGCCUAAUUGUAAUAUAUUUAUUUAUUUAUUAUGAUUAUUAUUUUUGAGAUGGAGUCUCGCUGUUGCCCAGGCUGGAGUGCAGUGGCACAAUCUCGCCUCACUACAACCUUUGCCUCCUGGGUUCAAGCAAUUCUCAUGCCUCAGCCUCCUGAGUAGCUGGGAUUACAGAUGCGUGCCACCACACCCAGCUAGUUUUUGUAUUUUUAAUAGAGACAGGGUUUUGCCAUGUUAGCCAGGCUGGCCUCAAACUCCCGACCUCAAGUGAUCUACCUGCCUCAGCCUCCCCAAAGUACUGGGAUUACAGGCGUGAGCCACUGCGCCUGGCCUCAUAAUUGUAAUACAUUUAAAUGUUAAGUGUCCACUCCAGCCGGGCGCGGUGGCUCACGCCUGUAAUCCCAGCACUUUGGGAGGCCGAGGCGGGUGGAUCACCUGAGGUCAGGAGUUUGAGACCAGCCUGGCCAACAUGGUGAAACUCCAUCUCUACUAAUAAUACAAAAAUUAGCUGGGCGUGGUAGUGCACAUCUGUAAUCCCAGCUACUUGAGAGGCUGAGGCAGGAGAAUCACUUGAACCCGGGAGGCCGAGGUUGCAGUGAGCCGAGAUCGCGCCAUUGCACGCCAACCUGGGCAAGGGCCUGUCUCAAAAAAAAAAAAAAAAAAGUGUCCACUCCAGGGUGAACAUGAGUCUCCAAAAUUUUAAUAUAAACAAAACGUGAAAUCUUGUUCUUCCACACAUUCCCCACACAAGUGCUGCCAAGAUCAUCUGAAAAGUUUUAAUCUACAAAGAAAGGUCCAGGACCAUUGUCCAUGGCUCUGCCCCUCCUACCCCCGGCUUUUCAGUUCCUUAUCUCCCCAUCACAAUGCCGUCCUUCCCCACUUCACCGUGCCCCGAUGUCCCUGACAACCCUCUGCAACUAGUCAAAGCCCCGGACUACCGUUGGGCCCACAAAUUCAUGUCUUUCCUGCUUGCUUGCUCCACCAAUCAAGCCACUUCUCUUUCUAGGCCUCCUCAAGACCUCCUUCAAUUUCUGCCUAUCCAUCAACUCAUUUCUGCCUCCAUUUUCCUCUUUAACCAGCUUAAAUGUCAUGUUCCAUCAUUUCAAUCACUUCCUUGCAAACAUCCUAAAAUCCUUGGCUCUCCCUUUGUCCUCAGCACCAACCUAUCAAAACUCCAAACAUGUUCAGGCAUGGUGGCUCACGCCUGUAAUCCCAGCACCGAGGCCAACGCGGGAGGAUCACUUGAACUCAGGAGUUCGAGGCCGCCUGAGCAACACAAAGAGACCUUGACUGUACUGGGGAAAAAAAAAAUAGCCAGGUAUAGUGGUGUGAACCUGUAGUCCCAGCUACUCAGGAGGCUGAGGUGGGAGGAUUUCUGGAGCCCUGGAGAUCGAGGCUGCAGUGAGCUAUGAUUGCACCACUGCAUUCCAGCCUGGACAACAGAGCGAGACUGUUUCUAUUUUUUUUUUUUUUUUUUUGAGACGGGGUCUUGCUCUGUCACCCAGACUGGAAUGCAGUGGUGCGAUUUCGGUUCACUGCAAGCUCCGCCUCCCAGGUUCACGCCAUUCUCCUGCCUCAGCCUCCGGAGUAGCUGGGACUACAGGCACCCGCCACCUCGCCCGGCUAAUUUUUUGUAUUUUUAUUACAGACGGGGUUUCACUGCAUUAGCCAGGAUGCUCUCGAUCUCCUGACCUCAUGAUCCGCCCGCCUCGGCCUCCCAAAGUGCUGGGAUUACAGGCAUGAGCAACCGUGCCCAGCCUGACUCUGUUUCAAGAAACAAAACAAAACAAACCCUCCAAACUCUAGGUGAACCUAACUAUGCCUCUCCUUUAUGCUUACAGCCAGGCCAGGAAGCAUUUUUUAAGAACUACUGGGGGUGUAAGUAACACUAUAAAUUCAGUCACCAACCUCAAUGCCGUUAGACAAUUCCAGUGCAUUUUGAUGUUUAGUUGCACUGUCCUCAGACUUCAAGCUUCCCUUCUAGCUCCUCGCUCUCAGCAGAUCACCUAAUGUUAUAGCUGCCUAAUCCUCCUUUCCUUCUCACUGCUGAAAGAUGUUCCUUCUGUGCUCAGAAUUCCAUCCCUCCAGGCUUCUCUGGAACUUUGCACUAUUCAUUGGCAGGAGAUGAGACUGUGUGGGGGGAGAGGAGUUAGGAGAUGGUUGCAGGGGUACUUGUUUUCAAAUGCAAAUAAGGUUAUACUUCUCCCCAACAAGCAAUCCUUUGAUACCUUUCCAUUGCUCUGAAGAUUUUUUUUUUUUUUAAAUGGGGUCUUGCUCUGUUGCCUGGAGUGCAACAGAGUGCUAGAGUGCGGUGGUGCAAUCUUGGGUCACUGCAACCUCUGCCUCCCGGGUUUAAGCAAUUCUUCUGCCGCACCCUCCUGAGUUGCUGAGACUACAGGCACACGUCACCACACCCAGUUAAUUUUUGUAUUUUUAGGAGAGACCGGGUUUCACCAUGUUGGCCAGGCUGGCCUCGAACUCUUAACCUCAAGUGAUCUGCCUGCUUUUGGCUCCCAAAGUGCUGGGAUUACAGGCCUGAGUCACCACGCCCAGCUUGAGAUCCAUUAUUUAUUCUUCUCCAUCUUGUUCUGUGUUCCUGGAAGCCAACCUUUAUAAGCUGCAGGAAAUGGAUUUCCUACUCUCCACCUUCUGAUUGGGCUUGACCAACGGGGAGCACUGGCAGAAGACAAGCAUGGGAGGAAAAAGAGAUCAGGGCUGGAGUGCAGUGGCGUGAUCUCGGCUAGCUACAACCUCCACCUCCCAGCCGCCUGCCUUGGCCUCCCAAAGUGCCGAGAUUGCAGCCUCUGCCUGGCCGCCACCCCGUCUGGGAAGUGAGGAGCGCCUCUGCCCGGCCGUGACCCCGUCUGGGAACUGAGGAGUGUCUCUGCCCGACCGCCACCCCAUCUGGGAGGCCCAGCAUCCAAUUCAGUCGCCUUCAAGGAGUCUCUUCAGUCUAAUUUAUUCUAGAACAAUUCUUCAGGCUUCCCUUCUCUGGCCAAGAUUUUUGAAAAAUACAGGUCAAUGACUUUGUAGGUUGUCUUCAGUUUGGAUUUGUCUGCUGUGUCCUCAUGAUUUAUGCAUCUCUGGCAGGAAUACCACAGAAACGAUGCGACAUUCUUCUCAGUGUACCAUAUUAGGAGUCACACAAUGUCAACUUGUCCCAUUACUGCUGAUGUUAAUGUUUACCACUUGGCUAAGAUGAUGUCUGCCAGGUUUCUCCACUGGAAAGUUAACAGUAUUUAGUACGUGUUAAGUGAUGAGUAAUGAAUAAAUAUUUCAUAGGGAGAUGUUCUGAGAGUAUAAAAAUAUCCUGUUCCAUAUCAAAGUUGCUUCACCCAGUUUCAACCCAAAUCAAUUACUACUACGAUGGUUGCCAAGUGAAGAUUUUCCCUUUUUUUAUUUUUAUUUUUAUUUUUUUAAGACAGAGUCUCACUCUGUUGCCCAGGCUGGAGUGCAGUAGCACAAUCUCGGCUCACUGCAACCUCUGCCUCCUGGGUUCAAGCAAUCUUCCUGCCUCAGCCUCCGCAGUAGCUGGG
rnacentral:lncRNA from 1 species